rnacentral:rRNA from 1 species
AGAGUUUGAUCCUGGCUCAGGAUGAACGCUAGCGACAGGCUUAACACAUGCAAGUCGAGGGGCAGCGGGGGUAGCAAUACCCGCCGGCGACCGGCGCACGGGUGAGUAACGCGUAUGCAACUUACCUAUCAGAGGGGGAUAACCCGGCGAAAGUCGGACUAAUACCGCAUGAAGCAGGGGCCCCGCAUGGGGAUAUUUGCUAAAGAUUCAUCGCUGAUAGAUAGGCAUGCGUUCCAUUAGGCAGUUGGCGGGGUAACGGCCCACCAAACCGACGAUGGAUAGGGGUUCUGAGAGGAAGGUCCCCCACAUUGGUACUGAGACACGGACCAAACUCCUACGGGAGGCAGCAGUGAGGAAUAUUGGUCAAUGGGCGUAAGCCUGAACCAGCCAAGUCGCGUGAGGGAUGAAGGUUCUAUGGAUCGUAAACCUCUUUUAUAAGGGAAUAAAGUUCGGGACGUGUCCCGUUUUGUAUGUACCUUAUGAAUAAGGAUCGGCUAACUCCGUGCCAGCAGCCGCGGUAAUACGGAGGAUCCGAGCGUUAUCCGGAUUUAUUGGGUUUAAAGGGUGCGUAGGCGGCCUUUUAAGUCAGCGGUGAAAGUCUGUGGCUCAACCAUAGAAUUGCCGUUGAAACUGGGGGGCUUGAGUAUGUUUGAGGCAGGCGGAAUGCGUGGUGUAGCGGUGAAAUGCUUAGAUAUCACGCAGAACCCCGAUUGCGAAGGCAGCCUGCCAAGCCAUGACUGACGCUGAUGCACGAAAGCGUGGGGAUCAAACAGGAUUAGAUACCCUGGUAGUCCACGCAGUAAACGAUGAUCACUAGCUGUUUGCGAUACACUGUAAGCGGCACAGCGAAAGCGUUAAGUGAUCCACCUGGGGAGUACGCCGGCAACGGUGAAACUCAAAGGAAUUGACGGGGGCCCGCACAAGCGGAGGAACAUGUG